rnacentral:misc_RNA from 1 species
AACAGCCCUACCAUUUUAUGACAUUGGCAAAGUGUGUAAUCAAUAUCACCCUGGUGAAAUCCUUAGCUUAUGUGACAAUAAGGAUAAGACAGAUCUGAUUUGUGAAUGCAUAAAGACAGAUGUUGAUAUCAUUGACAGUAUGAUCAACAGCAAUAAGUUCUUUGCUUUCUGCACUUUUUAACUUUGGGUUACCAUUAACAUAUCAAGGUGUUGUAUCCCAUUAUCCACAUGCACAUGUGCCUGUGAUGCAUGAGUGUGUACACACACACGAAUAGGUAUAAGAGAUAAUGGGGAUCCUGAGGGUGGGUGAUAAGAAAAGCCAACAAUUCAUCUUGAUUAUACCAUCAAGCAGAACAAAUUUCACAAAACCCACCUGCAGCUUAAGUUUAUGCUCA